UACGUAGGUGGCAAGCGUUAUCCGGAUUUACUGGGUGUAAAGGGGGCCCAGACGGCGAUGCAAGCCAGGAGUGAAAGCCCGGGGCCCAACCCCGGGACUGCUCUUGGAACUGCGUGGCUGGAGUGCAGGAGGGGCAGGCGGAAUUCCUGGUGUAGCGGUGAAAUGCGUAGAUAUCAGGAGGAACACCGGUGGCGAAGGCGGCCUGCUGGACUGCAACUGACGUUGAGGCCCGAAAGCGUGGGGAGCAAACAGG
rnacentral:rRNA from 1 species